rnacentral:rRNA from 1 species
GACGAACGCUGGCGGCGUGCCUAAUACAUGCAAGUAGAACGCACAGUUUAUACCGUAGCUUGCUACACCAUAGACUGUGAGUUGCGAACGGGUGAGUAACGCGUAGGUAACCUGCCUGGUAGCGUGGGAUAACUAUUGGAAACGAUAGCUAAUACCGCAUAAUAUUAAUUAUUGCAUGAUAAUUAAUUGAAAGGUGCAAUUGCACCACUACCAGAUGGACCUGCGUUGUAUUAGCUAGUAGGUGAGGUAACGGCUCACCUAGGCGACGAUACAUAGCCGACCGGAGAGGGUGGUCGGCCACACUGGGACGGAGACCAGGCCCAGACUCCUACGGGAGGCAGCAGUAGGGAAUCUUCGGCAAUGGACGAAAGUCUGACCGAGCAACGCCGAGGGAGUGAAGAAGGUUUUCGGAUCGUAAAGCUCUGUUGUAAGAGAAGAACGGGUGUGAGAGUGGAAAGUUCACACUGUGACGGUAUCUUACCAGAAAGGGACGGCUAACUACGUG